UACGUAGGGUGCAAGCGUUUAAUCGGAAUUACUGGGCGUAAAGCGUGCGCAGGCGGUUGUGCAAGACCGAUGUGAAAUCCCCGGGCUUAACCUGGGAAUGGCAUUGGUGACUGCACGGCUAGAGUGUGUCAGAGGGGGGGUAGAAUUCCACGUGUAGCAGUGAAAUGCGUAGAUAUCUGGAGGAACACCGGUGGCGAAGGCGGCAUCCUGGACCGACACUGACGCUGAGGAGCGAAAGCCAGGGGAGCAAACGGG
rnacentral:rRNA from 1 species